rnacentral:rRNA from 1 species
GGAGGGAUCAUUACAAGUGACCCCGGUCUAACCACCGGGAUGUUCAUAACCCUUUGUUGUCCGACUCUGUUGCCUCCGGGGCGACCCUGCCUUCGGGCGGGGGCUCCGGGUGGACACUUCAAACUCUUGCGUAACUUUGCAGUCUGAGUAAACUUAAUUAAUAAAUUAAAACUUUUAACAACGGAUCUCUUGGUUCUGGCAUCGAUGAAGAACGCAGCGAAAUGCGAUAAGUAAUGUGAAUUGCAGAAUUCAGUGAAUCAUCGAAUCUUUGAACGCACAUUGCGCCCCCUGGUAUUCCGGGGGGCAUGCCUGUUCGAGCGUCAUUUCACCACUCAAGCCUCGCUUGGUAUUGGGCAACGCGGUCCGCCGCGUGCCUCAAAUCGACCGGCUGGGUCUUCUGUCCCCUAAGCGUUGUGGAAACUAUUCGCUAAAGGGUGCUCGGGAGGCUACGCCGUAAAACAAACCCAUUUCUAAGGUUGACCUCGGAUCAGGUAGGGAUACCCGAUCUGAACUUAAGCAUAUCU